UCCUAGGGUCAAAAGUGAUUGAAGGUGCCUGAUCUUGAAAGCGCUAAGCAGUCCCAAACCCUGGCCAGUACUUGGAUGGGAGACCACCUGCAAAUCCUGGGUGCCGUCAGCA
rnacentral:rRNA from 1 species